rnacentral:rRNA from 1 species
UACGUAGGCAGCAAGCGUUGUUCGGAAUUACUGGGCGUAAAGAGUGUGUAGGCGGUGCUCUAAGUUCGGUGUGAAAUCUCCCGGCUCAACUGGGAGGGUGCGCCGGAAACUGGGGUGCUGGAGCGCGGGAGAGGAAAGCGGAAUUCCUGGUGUAGCGGUGAAAUGCGGCAGAUAUCAGGAGGAACACCGGUGGCGAAGGCGGAUCUCUGGGCCUUACCUGACGCUCGAGGCGCGAAAGCUAGGGGAGCGAACAGGA